rnacentral:misc_RNA from 1 species
UUUCCGUAGGUGAACCUGCGGAGGGAUCAUUACCGAGUGAGGGCGAAACGCCCGACCUCCCACCCCAUGUGAUUAUACCGCGUUGCCUCGGGGGACCGCCACGCGCCUCGCGGCGCCGGCGCCCCCGGUGGACCAUUUCAACUCCGCGUCUCAUGCGUCGGUUCAAAAUUGAUGAAUAUUAUCAAAACUUUCAACAACGGAUCUCUUGGUUCUGGCAUCGAUGAAGAACGCAGC